CUGAAUUUGAAGUGAAUUAGAGAAAAUAUUUCACAGAUGAAGAGAAGUCUUGGCCUAUGCAUCAUUCAGUGAGAAGUGUAAAGUUUCCAAAGACCUAAAAACUAUGGUCAAAUAAGUACAAAAUCUCCCAACAAAAAGAGAAGUAAAGAAUACCGAGGCGGUAUCUACCAUUGUGUUUACCUGAAAGAUCUACACUGAGCUAUCUCGAGGUUGCAGUGGUAGUGACGUGUGUGAGGUUGGCUGAGUUAUGGCUCAUGGAAUCUGUUUUGUGGAAUUCACUCUUCUCACAGGUCUUCUACUCCUUAAGAUAGACAAGAUUGAUGAAAGACUGGAAAUGACUUUGCCUGGACUAUGAUUCAGCGACAGUGUCCCUCUGGCAAGACUAUUGGCCAGGAUCAAACGCAGUGGCUGAUCCUCACUUACUCCUCUUCUUAAGGUUGUUAUGCUAGGAGCAUCACCUAACACUACAACGGCACAAUUCAGUGACAAAAUCAGAGAAGCUCUACAGACUGUACAAGAAACAUGGAACCAGCAUCUGUGUCUGAUGAAGGCCUUAGGAAUCUUCCACUCAUGGAGAAAGGAAGACAAAACAAAACUUCUGGAAUGCCUCUUCAUCUGUCCUAACAGUAACAUCUGAAGCCUCUUCCACCUGAAUUAUGAAGAUGUCAAGCAUUCUCAGCCUCAAAUUAAUGUAUCAAGUACAUUGCAUUUGUAUCUUUGUGUUCUUUCCUAGCUUCUUAAAAAACUGUGCUAAUUAUGUUUUCAAAAAUUGUUGUUUUUCUAACAUAUUGGUUACAAUAUCAAUAUAUGUGACUUAAUAAAAUAGUCUCUGAGAACAUGUGCUUUUCUGUAUGUAUUAGGUAUCCGCUUGCUUUUAACAGUAUUGUAAGUUUUUAUAAUCAUAUUUAAAUUGUGUUUAUCUAAAAUAUUUAUGAACAUUGAAUUUAUGGUGAACAAAGAAUUCUUUCAAAUUGCAUGUGGUUAUGUUUCAAAUAUGUGAAAUUUUUGAAUACUUUAUUAAAAUUUUACUGUAAUAGAA